GUGUGUGUGUGUGUGUGUGUGUAAUAAAAAAAUAUAAUAAAUAUAUUGUUUCCCUCAUAAUCGUAAAAAUAUAAUUUCAAUGUUGUGACAAAAUAAAAGGUCAGAAUCUAGGUGAUGAGAUCAUAAAGUAUGGACACUGAUGUUUGCAAAGGGUCAGAAACUCUGACAGAGUAAACAAUUUUUUAAUGAUUUUAUUGUAAUUUGUAAAUUUAUUUGCAUUAUAGAUAUAUUUAAUGCAGAAAAUUCUAAUUUAUAUAACUUUUAAUUAUAUUUAUAUUUAAAACUGCUUUCACAAAUAUAUAAAGAAUAAUUAUUCUUGCUACUCUUAAACGAUCAUAAAGUGGGCCACUUACCUUAAUGCAUAAAAGAAUAAAUCAGAAUCUCGUAUUUUCUUAUGCAUUAUAAAAAAAUCUGUGUCCAGGCCUUUAAUGAUAAGUUGAUGUUUUUUUAUACUUGUUUCUAAGUCUCUGUUCUUGUACGCUUAACCGCAAUUGUUCAUUUCAUAGUUCGGUUACUUAGAAUCAUCUAAUUUAUUUUUUCCCUUUUUUAUUAUCUUAAUUUCUUAGAAAGUGUAACAUUGCCACACUUACACAGAAUAAAACUUGAAUUUUUCCUGACAUCGUUAACGUAAAGAAUAUCACUUUAUUAUUAAAUUUUUCAUUACUUUACUAAUGUAUUAAUAAUUUCCCAAUUCUUUAACACUUCUUUUUAUAUAUUUGUUUAUCAUUUUUAUCGAUCAAUCUCUUUCAACUAACAAUAUUGUGUGCUUUCCAAUACAAAUUUUGAGGUAAUACUUGAUAUUUUACCUUUAUUUUAUUUUUUAAUUUUGUAAUGGAUAAUUUUUUAUUGUAAUUAAAUCUGUUUACUUAUAUCAUAUUCUUAUUAUGCAAUUGUACUAUUCUGAGAUAUGUGAAAUAGCAUUGAUAUUUAUGCAAUCUUUAUGAACUUGUACAUCUGAUAAAAAUCAGAAAAUUUGGUUGAGAUGUUAUGUCCUUUUAUUUUUAAUAAAGAUUUACCAAAUUAAUAAUUGCUUAAGAACUUAUGUGAUCAUUCAUUUGUUGGCAAUGCAACAUAAAUUAUUUUAUUAUUUUAAAGUUAUUAUCUUAAUAUAUUCUCUGGACAAUCAUUUCACUGAUUAUUCAACAAUUAAUGUUAUGAUCCUGCUUACAGAAGCUUGAGACACAUUCCAGGAAUUUUUCUACGGACAAAAACAACUAUCAAUCUUUCAUUUACAUCACGUUUUUGUAGUUAAAUGAAUUAGAUUAAUAGCUAGUAGCAUCUACCGCAAGAAGACUUAAAAAUAGAACCAGGAUACGAUUCUCAUAUAACAUUAUGCAUAUAUAGCACAAAGAACACUCUUAGGACGAAUGUCCUAAAACAUUCCACUAUACUAUAAAUAUUUUCAAGAAAUCUGUUCUGUACGAGCUAGCGGAAAAAGAUUGCGCAAAUUUUUAUCUCGCUAGGUUAUGGACAUCAGUCUCGAUGUGAAUGCGGUAUAAGUUCUAAUAAACGGAUGGCAUAUCAAGAAUAAAAACAAUCCGCCUGACGCGCAUGCAACAACAAAUUACCAGGUCGUGCUUUCGUGGCCUCGGCUUCAGGUUGUACGCGAGCUGUCCACGUCCGUCGUAGUUCUGGUGGUCACUCAACAACUCGCGCAAUGGAAACGCGUUAUCGCGUUCUAGCAAUGUCACCGUGGCCACAGCAAAUAUCCGAUGUAAAAACGACCCGUGUUUCGAAACACAAUGUGGAUGGAAAUGACAAUGCCUAUUUACGAAACGACACUUAAACGCCCCGUCGAAACGCCGGUGCAAUAUUUAUUGACAGAAUGCGAGUGAAAAGAUGAAGAAAGUUGUAAGAAUGAUAAAAAGAUAUAAAGUCCACGUAAUUUAAGUCUAAAGAGCCGAGUUUAAAAUUAACAUAAGUCAUUGGUCCAAACUAAAGACAUGAUUAAGUUACAUUUAGGUUAAGUUGCAGCAAAGUAUAAAUAAAAUGUAGCACCAAAAAGACCAAUAAAUCAUCUAUUCUAUUCUAUUAA
rnacentral:lncRNA from 1 species